AUUGAACGCUGGCGGCAGGCCUAACACAUGCAAGUCGAACGAGUGGCGGACGGGUGAGUAAUGUCUGGGAAACUGCCUGAUGGAGGGGGAUAACUACUGGAAACGGUAGCUAAUACCGCAUACCAUCAGAUGUGCCCAGAUGGGAUUAGCUAGUUGGUGGGGUAACGGCUCACCAAGGCGACGAUCCCUAGCUGGUCUGAGAGGAUGACCAGCCACACUGGAACUGAGACACGGGCCAGACCCCUACGGGAGGCAGCAGUGGGGAAUAUUGCACAAUGGGCGCAAGCCGGAUGCAGCCAUGCCGCGUGUAUGAAGAAGGCCUGCGGGUUGUAAAGUACUUUCAGCGGGGAGGCGUUACCCGCAGAAGAAGCACCGGCUAACUCCGUGCCAGCAGCCGCGGUAAUAC
rnacentral:rRNA from 1 species